rnacentral:rRNA from 1 species
AGAGUUUGAUCCUGGCUCAGGACUAACGCUGGCGGCGUGCCUAACACAUGCAAGUCGAACGGGAGUAGCAAUACUCCAGUGGCAGACGGGUGAGUAACACGUGGUCAACCUUCCUUUUAGUGGGGGAUAACUAGCCGAAAGGUUAGCUAAUACCGCAUACGAUCUUCGAAUGGCAUCAUUUGAAGAGGAAAGGAGCAAUC